GGUUCCAUAGAAUAGUGGUUAGCACGUCUGCUUUAAACGCAGAAGGUCCUGGGUUCGCAUCCCAGUGGAGCCA
rfam:Pteropus alecto contig1773, whole genome shotgun sequence.